AUUUUAUAAAUAAAGUUGUUAACCAAUAAUAUUUUUUUUAUCAAUAUUGCAAUUCUACAAAAUAUACAAGUGAAAUUUAGGAGGGAAAAUUACCUCCAUAAGCAAUUAACCAUACAACGUAGUUAAAAUUUUAGGGAAAUUAUCCCCUCUAAAAGCAGUCUUUGGCGGAAAAACUUCCUCCAAAUACAUGUAAUUUAUUAUAAAAAAAAAAAUAAAAAAAAAGGAAGGAAAGCCUACUCCCUCCUGUGUUCUUCAGUUCUUCUCUUCAUGUUCCAUUCUCUUCUCAGUCAUCUACUCUCUUCUCUACUGAAGUAGGAAAUCUCAAAUUAUAGGUCAUUUCUUUCUCUCCAAGAUUUAGAAUUUAAUAUUUCUCUGAAAUUAGGUUUCUUCAAAUCAAUUUGGGGAUUCUAUCGGUUUAAUUUAUUUUUAACAUAAUUGAUAUCAAUUUGGGGUUUCCAUAGAUUGUGAUUUUUUUUUAAUCUAUCACCAUUUCCCAUAGAUCAAGAGAUGGAGGAAUUAGAAUGAAUUCGAAGAUGAAUCCUCGAAAUAAUAACAAAACUUGAGCUCCAACUCUCUUCCUUUUCUUCUUUUCAGAUGACGCCGCCACUGACGCCACCGCAUAGCGUCUUUCUGGCAUAUUGCGGUCGAAUGGUAUCAGCGAUUUCAAGUUCAAAGUAGUCUGUUCUCAUGAAGCUAGACGAGAUCUCAUAUCUGCGCCAUCCAUUCAUCAUCUUUGUAAAAGCAUUGUUUGAUGUUGAGGUAGUCUGGUGUCAGGAAGAGCCAAUGAACAUGGGCGCUUACAGCUAUAUUUCACCUCAUCUAUGUCCACAUCUUUCGACCAUUGUGUUUGCUGACGACAUUGAGUAUGUUGGGCGCGUUCCAUCUGCUGCAACUGCUACCGGUUUUAGCAAAGGACAGACCGAGCUUCUGUAGAAGGCAUUGCAGUCAUAGCCAAUCCCAUUCCCAUUAACCAGUAAGAUGAUGCACGCUUAACACAGAUGGAGCAGCAAAUGGCUCUCUUGAGCUAGCUGGGGGAGGGGAUAUUAUCAGAGAUGAGAGAAGUUAAUUUCGAGGUGUUCAGCCAACUUUGGGUGUUCAGCCAACUUUGGGUGUUGCUCAGCUUUUCGAGCUGAAAUUCUGGCGCUUAAGAAGGGUCUGAUCUUAGCCAGGGAUCUCAGUAUUGACACACUUGUGGUGUAGUUAGAUAAUAAGGCUUAUAUUCAAGUGCUAUCAAAUUAAACAAGCAAGAUAAUGUGAGUGAAUGUGCCUACUUAAUUGAUUUCUGUAAUGAUUUGAUACAAAAGGAAGAUUGGGAAGUCCAGGUGCUUCAAGGCUAUCCUGAAGGCAAUCGCAUAGCGAACUUGCUUGCAAACAUUGGUGUAGCUCUAUCAAAUGAUUUUAAUUUAGCGUUAGAUGUUCCUUUAGAACUAGCUAAGGUUCCCUAAAGGAGGAUAUCGAAGGAUGGCUAUUCCAAACUGGUUCCCCCUUAGUGCCAUGCUAGUGUCGUACCUUUCUAGUGUUUUUUAGUCGGUUUGUUGACUUCUUGGUUUUGUUUUUUUGGUGCCUGUAUAUCUUGUCAAAAAUGAAACAUGGACCUUUUAUUCAGCUUUCUUGGUAGCAAUUGUUCUUUGGAGAAAGCUCGUGGUACACAAAAACUAUUUUUGAUUUUAA